AGAGUUUGAUCAUGGCUCAGAUUGAACGCUGGCGGUAGGCCUAACACAUGCAAGUCGAACGCGAAAGUCCUUCGGGAUGAGUAGAGUGGCGGACGGGUGAGUAACGCGUAGGAAUCUAUCCUGUAGUGGGGGAUAACGUUUCGAAAGGAACGCUAAUACCGCAUACGCCCUACGGGGGAAAGCGGGGGAUCUUCGGACCUCGUGCUAGAGGAGGAGCCUGCGUCGGAUUAGCUAGUUGGUGAGGUAAAGGCUCACCAAGGCGACGAUCCGUAGCUGGUCUGAGAGGAUGAUCAGCCACACCGGAACUGAGACACGGUCCGGACUCCUACGGGAGGCAGCAGUGGGGAAUAUUGCGCAAUGGGCGAAAGCCUGACGCAGCCAUACCGCGUGUGUGAAGAAGGCCUUCGGGUUGUAAAGCACUUUCAGUGGGGAGGAAAAGCUGGUGGCUAAUAUCCAUCGGCCGUGACGCUACCCACAGAAGAAGCACCGGCUAAUUCCGUG
rnacentral:rRNA from 1 species